UGGUGGAGUGAUUUGUCUGGUUAAUUCCGUUAACGAACGAGACCUCGACCUGCUAAAUAGUGCGGCGAGCCCAUUCGGGCUCGACCGGACUUCUUAGAGGGACUAUCGGUUACUAGCCGAUGGAAGUUCGAGGCAAUAACA
rnacentral:rRNA from 1 species